rnacentral:misc_RNA from 1 species
GAGAAACUCUGUUUUCGUGGCUUCGUAGGCCUUAUAGAUUGAAACUGUUAUUAUUUUUGUUUAUUUGUAACGAAUUUGAGUGUAAUUAACAAGAUGGUGCUUUAUAAGACGAAGAAGAUUCAGGCUGGGAAAGGGAAUCGGUUGUUGAUUAGUAUAACUGUUGUUGGGAGUGCUGGGCCGAUUCGUUUUGUUGUUAAUGAAAAGGAGCUUGUGGCUGAUGUUAUCGAUAUCGCGUUGAAAAAUUAUGCUCGUGAGGAGAGACUCCCUGUUCUUGGAUCAAAUUUUAAUAAUUUUGUGCUCUAUUGCCCAACCGCGGUAACAGAAGAUUUGAGUCCAUGGGAGACAAUUGGAUCACUUGGUGUUCGUAACUUUGUGCUGGUCAAAAAGCCGCAGUCCGAGAAUCCAAUUCUUAAUGGGAAACAACAGCGAAUUCUUGAUGGGAAACAAGUAGUUAUGGCUCGGAAGGGAUCUGGAAGUUGGAAGGCAUGGUUCAAUAAAUCACUCAGUCGCAAGAUAGUUUCAUACUGAAUUCACAGAGUCGACAUGAAGUAAUCUAUAAUUCUUGUUGUUUUUUUUCUAUUCUUUUUUCAUGUCUCUAUGUUUGAUCUUCUUGGUGUUUUCGUAAUGAGAAAUUAAACGUUUUAUCAGUUCUUUAGCUUUGUAGUCUGUUGAAAUCAG